UGGGAAAAUUCAGGCCUUGUGGGCGGGUUUUGAGAAGUCAUUGUGCCAAAAACUUCUCGACGAUAGCGAGAAGCACUCUCCCAAAUGUAAAACCUUGGUUACUUGGAGAUAAUGAGCAAGGGGGAAAGACGAUCAAUGUAAUUGAACAUGCAACGGCCAUUUUAGAACAGCAUCACUACGGUAUACACAUUUAGCUAUUUCAAUGCCCCUUAUCAUAAUAUCCUAACACAGAUAAUUAGCAACUUGGUUUUGGAUUAUUUGGGAGUUGGCUACCAACUGGAGAUGAAUUGAACACCAUGGACUGGUCAGACUAAUUAUUUUUCCACACUUCACACUCACCAUGCCAAGUAGUCAAAAGAAAAUUAUAUUCUCUGUUGCGGGAGUGUUGAGUUUCGGUUGCGUCCUCAUUAUUGCCGCCGCGAUGGGGACGCAGUUUUGGGUCCAGGGGACUGUGUUGUGUACAACCGGUGCGCAACUUGUAAAUGCCACAGGACAAGAGCUGGAUAAAUUUGUCGGUAUGGUUAACUAUGGUCUUUUUCACGGACAGAGAGUGAAGCAAUGUGGACUUGGUGGAAGACCCUUCAGAUUUUCAUGAAUCUUCUAGCUUGGAUGGAGGAAGGAACAAAGGGAAUGAGUAUAGAAAUGUAAUGCUGAUUCCUGAAACAUGUCAAUGACCUGAUGCAUGGCCUCUGCAGUGGUGCUUGGCCACACACUCAGGUACCAGUGACCUAUUCUGCCACAUCGCCAGGGAAGGAAGAGAGCAGAACCACUCUUCCAUAAAUCCAUGAUAGUGCGAAACCCUUGUCCUGAUUCAUGUAAAGUUGAUCUGACCCAUCAAACGACUUUUCAAGAGGGUCACCACGCUCCAGAUCUCGUUCUGUGCUCAGAGGUACUUGAUGAGGAUCUACCCCAUCACACCACUAAUGAAUUAUUAAUCAAAUAAAACAAUGGGCCUUUGUAUAGUCUGUCCCAGUCUUUUUUUUUGCAUGUAAUGUCUGUGGUUGAAUUAUGAAACAAUUUCUGUAUGCAGAUGUAUGUUGUUUAGUCUUUUACAUUGCUUGAUCUAUUUUAAAUGUAAGAAUAUGUUACAGGUUAACUUUAAUUGGUGACUAUGGAAACAAUCAGAAAUGUAACGAGCAAUGUUUUCAAUAUCCUACUUUAUCCUCUGCAAUACGUUUUACCACACUUUUUUUUUCUGUAAGGGCGCUAUCUGGAACCUAAAAGGGUUAUUCGGGCAGUUUCCAUAGGAGAACCCUUUGAAGAACCCUUUUUGGUUUCAGGUAGAACUCUUUUGGGUUCUAUGUAGGACCUGUUCCACAGAAGAUUCUACCAAAAUGGAAACCAAAAUGGUUAUACGUUGAACCAAAAAGGCCUUUCCUGUGGGGACCGCCGAAGACUCCUUUUGGGACCCUUUAUUCUAAGAGUGUAGGUAAUAAACUGUAGUCAGGUAGUCCAUUAUUUAAAAAAAAAUAAUAAUUAGGCAAGUCAGUUAAGAUCAAAUUCUUAUUUACAAUCACAGCCUACAAAAUUCUUUAACUAGUACCAUGUUAUGAUGAGGUCUUAACAAUGACCAGUAGGCUACAUAAUAUAGUGGUCACAAUCAUGACCAGCUGGUCAAAUAGAGGUCACAGUUAUGACCAACUGGUGUAAUGGUGGUCAGAAAAAUGUCAUUCUGGUCCAGUAAAAAUAUGUUUAAAAAAACCUUCCCUUUUAAACCAGUUUGCGACCAGAAUAAGGUGUCAUAAAAAUACAUUUUCAGCCAGAGUUUGCACACUGGGUAGUAACCGAAGCAUAGGACAAGAUUCAGUAGCCACUGCAGCCUAAAGUAAAUGGAAAUAAUUUUGUCAAAAUGUUAUAAUUACUCCUGUCUAUACAGAAAUGAGUAAAGUAAUACAAGACAAGCAAGACCGAGGACCAUUUAGUUUCUUUCAAAGCUGUGGAUUGUUUCAAAUCCCAAGCAUGGCCUAUAUGACUAGUUGGGCAAUUUGCAGCUGUUAGUGAAAAAGCAAUGCAUUUAAAAUACGUGUGAAGAUAAUGUGUCUUGAGUACAAUUUGAAAUGUUGCGAGAAGAAGGGGAGAGGUGUGUGGUGAAGAUAUUGGUGUCUCUCCAGAAUGUGCUCAGUCCUCCAAAAUGCACUGAGCUGCCUCCCGCCAAAUUCUUGCACAUUCAUAGUUUUAUUGUGUUAAUAGUUUGUCCUUAGAUUUUUUAUUUUUGUAUCAAUUCCCCAUUACACCAGUAGUAAAUUUGGUUGCAUUAAUUUAGGUUAAUGUAUGCAUGUAUUAAUUAGGUCUAUUUUUACCGUUCUCAUUCUCGGAGUGGUAACAUUGUAGAGUUCACAAUAACUUUUGUUUUAUUAAAUAUCAUUUGACUUCGGCCAGACCCCCUCUCCCCCGCAGAGAGGGGAGCUGGUGGGGAGGUGACUGUUGUAAAUCAUGGAUUGGAACUUUCAGCUAUUUCCCUCUCAAAAUUCACACAGGAAUGUGCCUUUGUUCACAUAGGUUUUCCCGCUGAAACUCUAACAUGUUCUAAAGUGAAUACUGGAACAAUAUUUCUAACAGAAUGUGGGGAAUGUUCAGACGAUCUAAAGAAAUUGAUGUCCUUUCGGUUGUUAUUUUGUGAUGCAUUAAAAAUGUUAAAGGAAAUACUGUAACUUGAAAAGUGUAUAUACACUACAGGUACGAAGUCUCCAUUCUCUAUGUUGUGUAUGAAAAAUGAUUAGUGUUUUUGUUAAGAGAAGGAUGUGAUCUUAGAAACUAUAAGAGGAAAUUGUUUCGAUAACAAGUGAGUAGUCACCGCCCCCUUGAGUGAAGUCAGAGCCUCACAAACCGCCCCUAUUGAAUAACUGUAUAAAAUCAGGGGUUAAAAAUGUACAUAUCAGACCAGAGAGACAUUUUAGCUGCGGCUCACAUCCAAAGUGGUUUGAACUCUGAAAUCUCAGCACGAGGUAGAGAAUAAAAUCACCUCCCGGACAAUCACUGGUACGGCUGAUUAGCUGUCCUAAGAAAAGUAUCUAGAAAAGCGAAUUUAAGUGGGACCAUUCUACUAUUCUUCAAAACAACAUAUACUACUACUCUUAUCACCACUGAGAACCAUCGGCUGGCUAACCUAUCUUCAAAUAAGUAUCUUCCAGAGCGAGUGGAAGCAGAGUGAGAGCUGUAGUUCUAUUCAGGACAGGAGACAGGACAGACAGCUGAUCGAACCUUGAUGUCUUGGUAAUGGCAAAUGAAAUGACCUUGACUUCUUUCAUCCCAUCAUGUAUCACUAGCAGUAGGAAGUGAGCAAAACGAGAGAGUCACUGUCUGGAUCUCCGGAGGUUGAUGUUCACCUCAUCCCAUGAUACAUCCUCCCAUAGGUGUUCAUCGUCCAGGUUCCCAUCUUUACUGUGCUCCUCCUGCUGUGGCAGCUUUACUUUGAAUGCACAUUUCAUAUUUCAUGUGUUAUCUGUGAUAAUAGGAUACUUUGUUUGUGAUGCGAUAUUCAUCUGUGAUUUCAUCAAAGCUAUUAUUAGCUAUUUUCUCUGCGCUAUGCCGCCCAGUGUACCGCCUGCAGUCUAGGAGGAAGGACUCCAGCUCAUUUCUAUUUGGGUUUUUACUGUGAGUGGUAACUCUGAAGAAAGAGCACAAGAAUUUGGAUGAUGAAUUUUCUGUGCAAAUGCUGCCACACUUGGCUGUGCAGUAUCUGGUGUCUGCUGUCCUGCCUUGUACUUCCUGAAUCUGAAAAUAAAUUGAAAAAAUAUUCUAUAAAAUUUCUGGUAAUAUUAACAUCAAAUCUAUGAACCUUAGCUAAAGUCGCAGCACCAAUUUUAAUCACACGUAUUGCAACCGCAUUGCAUAAGUUGCAAUAAACUGUUAAGUCACAUAAUGAUGAAGACAUUAUGCGAGAAGCAAUGUUAAUAUAUGUCUUAAUUUAAAAAUGCAACUCUGGGCCCGAGGCAGAGAUGGCGGAACAGAGUUUUGACUGGGGGUUCAGGAUUGUUUUAAAGCCUAGUUUAGAUAUGUUUCUGUUUAUUUCUGACAUUUUGGUAGGCUAUUUGUUUGUCAACUUGUCUAUAAUUAGAUACUCUUCUGUCAUUACUUGUUGCCCCAGAAGAAUCAUUAUAAACUGUGUGGUUCGAGCCAUG